rnacentral:rRNA from 1 species
CGAAAGCCUGACGGAGCGACGCCGCGUGAGGGACGAAGGCCUCUGGGCUGUAAACCUCUUUUCUCAAGGAAGAAGAUAUGACGGUACUUGAGGAAUAAGCCACGGCUAAUUCCGAGCCAGCAGCCGCGGUAAUACGGGAGUGGCAAGCGUUAUCCGGAAUUAUUGGGCGUAAAGCGUCCGCAGGCGGCUUUUCAAGUCUGCUGUUAAAGCGUGGAGCUUAACUCCAUCAUGGCAGUGGAAACUGAAAGGCUUGAGUAUGGUAGGGGCAGAGGGAAUUCCCGGUGUAGCGGUGAAAUGCGUAGAUAUCGGGAAGAACACCAGUGGCGAAGGCGCUCUGCUGGGCCAUUACUGACGCUCAUGGACGAAAGCCAGGGGAGCGAAAG